ACUCCUACGGGAGGCAGCAGUGGGAAUAUUGCACAAUGGGGAAAGCCAUCGAUGCAGCCAUGCCGCGCUGUGUGAAGAAGGCCAAUUCGGGGCUUUGGUUAAAGACACUUUCAGUAGGGAGGAAGGUAGUGUAGUUAACACCUGCACUAUUUGACGUUACCUACAGAAGAAGCACCGGCUAACUCCGUGCCAGCAGCCGCGGUAAUACGGAGGGUGCGAGCGUUAAUCGGAAUUACUGGGCGUAAAGCGCAUGCAGGCGGCCUGUUAAGUCAGAUGUGAAAGCCCGGGGCUUAACCUCGGAAUUGCAUUUGAAACUGGUAGGCUAGAGUCUUGUAGAGGGGGUGAGAAUUAUCAGGUGUAGCGGUGAAAUGCGUAGAG
rnacentral:rRNA from 1 species